GCCCCGUAAUCGGAAUGAGUACACUUUAAAUCCUUUAACAAGGAUCCAUUGGAGGGCAAGUCUGGUGCCAGCAGCCGCGGUAAUUCCAGCUCCAAUAGCGUAUAUUAAAGUUGUUGCGGUUAAAAAGCUCGUAGUUGGUUCUGCGUGCCGCGCUGUCGGUUCGCCGCCUGUCGGUGUAACUGGCAUGUCGCGGCAUGUCCUGUCGGUGGUGAACGGGGUCCCCGGUGCUGCUGAGGCUUUUACCGCCGAAGUUUGUGCCGUGUGUGUUCCCGUUUACCGAUCUCUCCUACUCCGGUGCUCUUAAACGAGUGUCGAGGUAGGCCGACACGUUCACUUUGAACAAAUUAGAGUGCUUAAAGCAGGCUGAAAUAUCUGCCUGAAUAGUGGUGCAUGGAAUGAUAAAACAGGACUUCAGUUCUAUUUUGUUGGUUUUAGGAAUAUGAGGUAAUGAUCAAUGUGGACUGGCGGGGGCAUUCGUAUUGCGACGUUAGAGGUGAAAUUCUUGGAUCGUCGCAAGACGCACUAGAGCGAAAGCAUUUGCCAAGUAUGUCUUAAUUGAUCAAGAACGAAAGUUAGAGGUUCGAAGGCGAUCAGAUACCGCCCUAGUUCUAACCAUAAACGAUGCCAGCCAGCGAUCCGCCGAUGUUCCUUUAAUGACUCGGCGGGGAGCUUCUACUCGGGAAACCAAAGCUUUUGGGUUCCGGGGGAAGUAUGGUUGCAAAGCUGAAACUUAAAGGAAUUGACG
rnacentral:rRNA from 1 species